UGAACGCUGGCGGUAUGCUUACCACAUGCAAGUCGAACGGACUCUCGGAGUUAGUGGCGGACGGGUGAGUAACGCGUGAGAAUCUGGCUUUGGGUUCGGGACAACCACUGGAAACGGUGGCUAAUACCGGAUGUGCCGAGAGGUAAAAGAGAAAUUGCCUGAAGAUGAGCUCGCGUCUGAUUAGCUAGUUGGUGAGGUAAAGGCUCACCAAGGCAGCGAUCAGUAGCUGGUCUGAGAGGAUGACCAGCCACACUGGGACUAAGACACGGCCCAGACUCCUACGGGAGGCAGCAGUGGGGAAUUUUCCGCAAUGGGCGAAAGCCUGACGGAGCAAUACCGCGUGAGGGAAGAAGGCUCUUGGGUUGUAAACCUCUUUUCUUAGGGAAGAACAAAAUGACGGUACCUAAGGAAUCAGCAUCGGCUAACUCCGUG
rnacentral:rRNA from 1 species